AUGUCAGUUUCGUUAUUACAACCUUAUUUUUUUAUGUCAAAGACAAAAAGCUACGCGCAAAUUCUCAUUGGAUCUCGGUUGUUCUUAACAGUGAUGGCUAUUCAUUUAAGUCUUCGGGUAGCACCACCAGAUCUUCAACAAGGUGGAAAUUCUCGUAUUUCGUAUGUACAUGUUCCUGCGGCUCGGAUGAGUAUAGUUAUUUAUAUCGCGACAGCUAUAAACAGUUCCUUGUUCCCAUUAACAAAACAUCCCCUUUUUCUUCGCUCUUCCAGAACCGGUACAGAAAUUGGUGCUUUUUCUACUUUGUUUACGUUAGUGACUGGGGGGUUUCGGGGAAGGCCUAUGUGGGGUACCUUUCGGGUGUGGGAUGCUCGUUUAACCCAUUUCCUGAACCAUUAG
rnacentral:rRNA from 1 species